GCUGAAUAUACCAGUUCUCGUUAGCCGAAGUUAAGCAUCAUUGGGCGCGGUCAGUACUUGGGUGGGUGACCUGGGAACA